AACGCAUCUGGCACCACCCGGGUUAUUCUGGGAGGUAUAUGUGACUCAGUGGUUUCAUACCACACAUGACGCGGGGUGCGGUGGACACUGCAAAAAAGCAAUAUUCAACAAAAUAAGAACAUUGAAUCAGACCCUGAGACACAUAUGGAGACCUGCUGAAUUUAA
rnacentral:misc_RNA from 1 species